rnacentral:rRNA from 1 species
CCUGAGAAAUAGCUACCACUUCUACGGAGGGCAGCAGGCGCGCAAAUUGCCCAAUGUCAAAAAAAAACGAUGAGGCAGCGAAAAGAAAUAGAGCCGGCAGUGCCACUGGCAUUGCCGUUUUCAAUGGGGGAUAUUUAAACCCAUCCAAAAUCGAGUAUCAAUUGGAGGACAAGUCUGGUGCCAGCACCCGCGGUAAUUCCAGCUCCAAAAGCGUAUAUUAAUGCUGUUGCUGUUAAAGGGUUCGA